rnacentral:rRNA from 1 species
CCCUUAGAUGUUCUGGGCUGCACGCGCGCUACACUGAUGCGUUCAACGAGUUCUUCCUUAGCCGGUAGGCUUGGGUAAUCUUUUGAACACGCAUCGUGAUGGGGCUAGAUUAUUGUAAUUAUUAAUCUUCAACGAGGAAUUCCUAGUAGGUGCAAAUCAUCAGUUUGCAUCGAUUACGUCCCUGCCCUUUGUACACACCGCCCGUCGCUGCUACCGAUUGAGUGUCCUGGUGAAUUAUUCGGACUGUGUUCGGUGCCGGUUUCCGGAACCGUUACACGGAAAGUUUUGUAAACCCUGACACUUAGAGGAAGCAGAAGUCGUAACA